UCACGGCCCGUUUUAACCCAAAACGUCCAUGAAGACAACCAAAGAUCGGGUCGGGCCAAAGGUGAAUCAAGCCCACUCCACUAAGUAUUUUCUUAAGCUUUAAGUCUUUUGUAAAAUAUCUUAGGUAUGGAGAAGUGUAGAGAAGUGUAGAGAAGUGUAGAAAAGUGUAGAAGGUUGUGGAACACUUGAGAAGAAGUUUCACAACCGUUAGAUCGGUUUGAUCUGAACCGUUCGUUGAGGAAGAGAAAGUGUAUAUAAAGGGGAUCACCCCUC
rnacentral:lncRNA from 1 species